rnacentral:lncRNA from 1 species
CACAAAUACACACCCAUGCACACAGAUCCUCAUACACACACAUGCACAAAUACACACCCAUGCACACAAUGCACAUAUAUCCUCAGACACACACAUAUGCACACACACCCAUGCCCAGACACACAUGCACAUAGAUCCUCACACACACAUGCACAAAUACACACCCAUGCACAAGGAUCCUCACACACACGCACAAAUACACACCCAUGCACGCACACACACAUAGAUCACACUCACAUCCACAAAUACACGCCCAUGCACACAUACACACAUGCAGAUACAUCCUCAGACACACACAUGCACAAAUACACGUCCAUGCACACAAACAUGCACAUAGAUCAUCACACUCACACACCCAUGCCCAAAUACACACCCAUGCACACAUACAUGCACAGAGAUCCUCAGACUCUCACACACACACACAUGCACAGACUCAUGCACACAGAUGCACAAUCAGCCAUGUCCAGCCCAGAAGUGGAGGCUCAGCUAAAGUCCUGGAAGCCAGCACCUGGUGACCACCAUGUAGACAGCAUAUUUCACCGGCAGCUCCAGUUGGAAUUCGGUUUUGUUGGUUCUGGGCAUGUUGUUCUCACUGGAGGGAAAGAAAGAGCUCCAGCCGGCUCUUGAGAACUGACAGUUAGUCUUUGCUCCUCCCUCUCCCUCACUCCCUGCCUCCAAUCAGCCACCAAGUUCUGUUAUCUCUGCAUCUGAAACCCCACUGUUCUCCAACCCCUGCCCCCGCCUAGCCCAGGCCCAUCCCUCUCCAGCUGGAUGUCUGCAACCACCUUCUUCUAACUGGUCCCCUGAAUUCACACCUGCUCCCACCCCAAUCGCCAGCCCUCCUGAAGAGUGAUCGUUCUAACAUGCAAAUAUGAUUAUGUCACUCCCAGAGGCGAAACUGCAAAUCCCAAACAACACCCGUCAGUCAUUUUGGGACAUGGCCUGUAUCUAACCACCACCAACUCCUUCAGCCCUGCAUUUCAUGCUGAGGCCACUCUUAAACACACCCUGAUCUUCCCGUCCCUGGUAUCUGCUUCCUGCCUUCUGUCUUCAUGCCCGCCCU